rnacentral:RNase_P_RNA from 1 species
UGGGGGGGAAGCUCAUCAGUGGGGCUACGAGCUGAGUGCGUCACGUCACUCUGUAGCGUGUCCCCUGGGAAGGUCUGAGACUAGGGCCAACGGCGGCCCUAACAGGGCCCUCCCUGAGCGCAGGGAGGUGAGUUCCUAAUAGUGUCGGUAAGAUGCUUAGUCACGUUCCUUGUUGCAGAGACAAAGCAGCUGACACCCAAAGUUAGAGGAAAGGUUUAUUUCAGUACAGUUUGUAGAGGUCUCAGUCCAGAGUCA